rnacentral:rRNA from 1 species
GCCAGCAGCCAUAUCACCCUGCAGCUCACUGGAGCUCAGCAGGUGUGAGCCUGGUCAGUACCAGGAUAGGUGACUCCUGGGAAAGCUAAGGCUGCUGCUGGAA